CGCGCCGAGCGCCGCAUAUAUGCGGCAUCCACGCGACGACCUGUGGGUACGAGCGCCGCAUAUAUGCGGCAUCCAAAUGAUGUGUAUACAAACAUCAAAACAAUCGUUUACUGUUUUAUGCCAAAUAAUCUAUCGAAUCUAUUCGACAGUAAAGCGAUAUUUCAUGUACGGUUUUUACAGGAAUUAGGAAUAUAUCGGCUUAAGAAUGUAUAUAAAACGUAAAAAAAGUAUUAUGUUUGAAAAUGAGGUAUCCGAUUCAGAAAAUGAAAAUAAUUUCCACCUGUGUAAAAGACGACGAAGAAAUAUAUGCAGCACAUCAGAAUCGGAAACAGACGUAAUUGAAGAUAAUGCCACGGACACCAAGUACAACAUAACAUGGACAUCCAAAAAUUUCAUACCAAAGAUUCAUGAAUUUUCCUCAAGAAAUUCGGGACUGAGAAAGAAAAUACGCAGAUCCUCAAAAAUUAUAGAUUACUUUGAGCUACGUCGCUCGGCGGACGACACUGCCGUAGCGAAAGGGUUAAUACUCUGCGGAACAAUAUUUAGCUUCCGCGGUGUUAUUUGCGUUUCCGUUAAUAGCUUACGUUUACAUAGACGUUUUAAUUUUACGCGUUGUUUAAUUUUUAAUAAAAGCCUCCAAAGAUAUUUAUGAUAGUCUUAAAAUGUCUCUUAGCACCUUUUGGCAGAAUAAAAAAAUGUUGCUUUUUUAUUUUAACUUGUGUUUUAUCGUGUAUGAUUCAAGUAUAGCACUUGACACGUAUUCAAGUGUAUGACAAGUAUAGCACGACAGAAAAUUUUACUUCAACUCAAGGAACGUUCGAGUGAAGUUUGUCGUUUGUCAACUUAAACGGAAAAAUCCGUACUUUUUCGUAGUAUAAUUAAUAAAACUACGUAUUUACUCUUCUCGCGUUUCGUUGCCUUCUGUAUCAAUGUAUCCCCAGUGCGCCAUUCCAGGGCUACCGUUGUACUUAUCGAUACUGAGAUAUCGCCCUUCCUCUUCUAACAUGUCAUCCUUCUUUUGAAGAUUUACCGUCACAAUAUUUUCCCCAUCGUCGUACAUCUAUCAGUAACACAAACAUAAGUUUUCGUAAA